rnacentral:rRNA from 1 species
GACGAACGCUGGCGGCGUGCUUAACACAUGCAAGUCGAACGGAGUGGCGAACGGGUGUGUAACAUGUGGGUGACCUUCCCUGCACUUCGGGAUAAGCCUGGGAAACCGGGUCUAAUACCGGAUAGUGUGGGAAGGGCCGGCGGCCUAUCAGCUUGUUGGUGGGGUAAUGGCCUACCAAGGCGGCGACGGGUAGCCGGCCUGCGAGGGUGGACGGCCACAAUGGGCCUGAGGCACGGCCCAGACUGCUACGGGGGGCAGCGGGGGGGAAUAUUGCACAAUGGGGGGGAGCCUGAUGCAGCGGCGCCGCGGGGGGGAUGACGGCCUUCGGGUUGUAAACUCCUUUCGCCAUAGACGCGGUAGAUGGAGAAGAAGCACCGGCUAACUACGUGCCAGCAGCCGCGGUAAUAC